CAUCACUACGCUAGAUGCAUUAUCAAUAAGCGGAGGAAAAGAAACUAACAAGGAUUCCCUUAGUAACGGCGAGUGAAGCGGGAAGAGCUCAAAUUUGAAAUCUUCAAGGUUUUACCCUGACGAAUUGUAGUUUAAAGAAGUGUUUUCUGUUGAAGUUUUGGUAAAAGUUCUUUGGAAUAGGACAUCAUAGAGGGUGAGAAUCCCGUAUUUGACCAUUAUUUUCAGCUGUGUGAUACACUUUCAAAGAGUCGGAUUGUUUGGGAAUGCAGUCCAAAAUGGGUGGUAUAUUUCAUCUAAAGCUAAAUAUUGGCGAGAGACCGAUAGCGAACAAGUACCGUGAGGGAAAGAUGAAAAGAACUUUGAAAAGAGAGUUAAACAGUACGUGAAAUUGUCAAAAGGGAAGCGUUUGACACCAGUGUUGUUUUUCUGAAAAUCAAUUAAAGAACUGUUUAUGCUAAGUUGUUUAGACUUUAUCAGCUAACUGUUUAGUUUUGAGCUUUUCUUUAAUGCACUUUUCAGUUAACAAGUCAACAUCAAUUUCUUUUGCUGUAAAAAAGCUUGAGGAAGGUGGCUUGAGAUUCGUCUUAAGUGUUUAUAGCCUCUUGCCUAUGCAGUCGGAGAGAUUGAGGUCUGCAGCGUAGAUCCUUCGGGGCUAAAUGCAUUUGUGCUAAGUUAUAACAUUUUAUAGACAACUUGUUGACUAUGAUUUAGUCAUUGUAGCUUACUCGCUUAUGUUAUUUUACCUACGCUUAGGAUGUUGACGCAUGAGAUAUACGC
rnacentral:rRNA from 1 species